AAAAUGGAAAAGUUCAGCGCUGAAUCGCAACAAAAAAUAUAAGAUUUCUUUUUCUAUCAAUAAACAAGGAAAAAUUAUAUAUUACAAUUUGUGUGCGAAAUGUAGCGUUCAAGAGAAUCCGAAAAAAGUGUGUGUGCGAAAAAUUCUUUUUUUGUUCAUCACUUUUAUGCUGAAUAGUUUUGUGGGAAAAUUUCAAGUCCUAUUGAACUAGGACAAAAGUUUUACGAAACUCAUAGAGGGUGUUAAGCCCGUAGAAAUUUCUCGAAUUUAUUCAGUUUGGAUUGUCUCUUUAGAGUCGGAUUGCUUGAGAGUGCAAUCUUAAGUUGAUGGUAAACUCCAUCAAAAACUAAA
rnacentral:rRNA from 1 species